UGAGGAAUAUUGGACAAUGGGCGAAAGCCUGAUCCAGCAACGCCGCGUGAGUGAUAAGGCCUUCGGGUUGUAAAGCUCUUUUAGUGGGAAAGAUAAUGACGGUACCCACAGAAACAGUCCCGGCUAACUUCGUGCCAGCAGCCGCGGUAAUACGAAGGGGGCUAGCGUUACUCGGAAUUACUGGGCGUAAAGCGUGCGUAGGUGGUUUUAUAAGUUAGAAGUUAAAUUCUCGAGCUCAACUCGAGGCCUGCUUUUAAAACUGUAGAACUUGAGUAUCAGAGAAGAUAGUGGAAUUCUUAGUGUAGAGGUGAAAUUCGUAGAUAUUAAGAGGAACACCAGAAGCGAAAGCGACUAUCUGGCUGAAUACUGACACUGUUGCACGAAAGCGUGGGGAGCAAACAGG
rnacentral:rRNA from 1 species